rnacentral:rRNA from 1 species
GAUGAACGCUCGCGGCAGGCCUAACACAUGCAAGUCGAGGGGGAGGUUACUUUCGGGUAACUGAGACCGGCGUACGGGUGCGUAACGCGUAUACAAUCUGCCUUUCACUGGGGGAUAGCCCGAAGAAAUUUGGAUUAAUACCCCAUAGUAUAGUAAUACGGCAUCGUGAUGCUAUUAAAGCUUAGGUGGUGAAAGAUGAGUAUGCGUUCUAUUAGCUAGUUGGAGAGGUAACGGCUCCCCAAGGCGAUGAUAGAUAGGGGCUCUGAGAGGGAUGUCCCCCACACUGGUACUGAGAUACGGACCAGACUCCUACGGGAGGCAGCAGUGAGGAAUAUUGGACAAUGGUCGGAAGACUGAUCCAGCCAUGCCGCGUGCAGGAUGAAGGUCUUAUGGAUUGUAAACUGCUUUUGUAAGGGAAGAAUAAGGGCUACGCGUAGUUUGAUGACGGUACCUUACGAAUAAGCAUCGGCUAACUCCGUG